rnacentral:ncRNA from 1 species
UUGCCCAUCGGGGCCUCGGAUACCUGCUUUUAAUUUUU